ACUCGUCCACGUCAUUCGGGAAUGAUCGCGAUAAUGAAUGAAUGAGUGUAACUAAAGCUUAUUCUGGUGUCUUCCAGUGAACGAUAGAGAAAGAUAUUCCAAAUGGAGUUAAGAUUCAAGUACAAAUAACCCGAAACAGAUCAGUGCUGUAGAAUAUAUAUUUGGUAUGAGUAUAAAUAAAAACAGAGAUGAUCUGAUGAUUACCACUUGCCUGUUCAAUCUCCCACAUAAUUCGAAGAUCUUACUGGGUGCGAGGCACUCACGAAGGAAAGACAUGUUCAUUGGACCUUUGGGUAUUAUCGGUCUCUAAAAUCUUUUACACUACCACACACAAGUGUCGUCAUUUAUAUGAAUUAAAUUGGAACUUCUUGAAGUAUACGGUUUUCUAGUACUAGGUAGCUAAACACUUGUAGACCAAAUCCGAUAACUUCUAAAAACUUUGUUAGAAGUUCCCUCGGAGGUUAAAAUCAUACUUACAGAUACAAAAGUCUUGUCCAAUGGAACAUCAUAAAUGACACAGGCAUCAUGACAACAUUUCACAGAGACUUAUCAAAAGGAGGUGCAGAGCUGGCAAUUAUUCUCUUGUAACGAAGGCUUAACUAAAUAUGAAACUACUCCUGAGAAGAGGAAAAUAGGAAAUGGAGUUAAAGAAAGAAUUUUUUUCUUGUAAUUAUUUAAUUCAAUAACUUGAUAAAUUAGAAUGUGUAAUUUUCUAAUUUAUAGGACACAUAUAGUUUACAAGUGCAACUAAUCAACAUAUUUAUUAGCAUUUAAAAAUAUCAUUGCAACUAAUGCAAGGAACUAAGUUAUUAAGAAUAAGUUUCUUAUAAUAAUAAUAAUAACUCUAACAAA